UGGUUCCGGCAUCGAUGAAGAACGCAGCGAAAUGCGAUACGUAGUGUGAAUUGCAGAAUCAGUGAAUCAUCGAGUCUUUGAACGCACAUUGCGCCCUUUGGUAUUCCGAAGGGCACGCCUGUUCGAGCGUCAUUUCAACCUCAAGCUUUGCUUGGACUUGGACUAGCAUUGCUGGUCUUAAACUUGUUGGCGACAGUUCCCUAAGCGUGAUGACUCACGGCGAACGGGAGGCUUGUCUGUUUAACUCAUUCUUCUGGUUGACCUCGGAUCAGGCGGGGAUACCCGCUGA
rnacentral:misc_RNA from 1 species